AAGAUACCCCCUCUCUCAGAAAAUACUUGUCGGCGAAAUGGAAGUAUCUAGACAUAUUUUAGUUCUAGAUACAUUCAUUUUUAUCCAUUUCUUCAACAAGUAUUUCCUGACGGACAGAGUAUGUU
rfam:Triticum aestivum genome assembly, contig: Triticum_aestivum_CS42_TGACv1_scaffold_423935_5BS